rnacentral:piRNA from 1 species
UACGCACGUUAGAGCUGAAUCGCUGAGUGU